UAACAGCAGUCUACGCUAUAUCUGCCAACCGCCCUGGUUACUCAGACUACUUUGUCAUGUCACCGCCGUCCUCAUACCGUAGCCCAUCCUGGAUGUCCUACCCACCUGAGCCUGAAGACCUGCCGCGCCAUUGGAACGACACACCAAACUCACGUCAUCUUGAAACCAUCUGCUAAAGUCGUCUGCCUGUGACACUGAGUGGAAACAGCCGAUAGCUUGGUGUCUCUUUGGAUGGGCAGAAGACCUCCCUCUCACUGAAAAUUCCCUGGAGCUAUAUCACCCCUCCUUCACUUCGGCCCGGUCUUCGUCCUGUCUGAUUUAUUCAUCACAGGUGGACACGCCUCCACUACCACCUUACCCCCACCUCCUCCUCUCUCUGCUGGGCUUGCCUCCUUCUAUCCUCUCUCAGCCCGCUUCAUCUGCAGCUUAUAGCGUUUCUCAUCCACCAAAACUGCUUUGUCCCAUAAGCCCCUUGACCUGGUCAAAGCUCUGCUUCAAUCUCCUUACCAAUGUAAAUGUUCAGCCAUAAUUCUCUAUCUUGUAUUCUCUCUGAGCCCCUGGCCUCACUGGCCCUAACAGGCCCCUCUGGGCCUCUAGUCACUAUAUCUUUGUACACUGCCUCCUCUGUGGUAACCACCAUUGUACAGCAAGAGGCCCUUCACACUGCUGAUCUGAACUGAGCUGAGCUGCGUGAAGCUUUACUGUGCUUCCCUGUGUAAUAACACGUGCAGUAUUGAUGAACAGGGUGAGUACAUUACAGUGUGACAUGCAGGGCGAAAUUUUAACUAGUUCUCUGCCCCAGCAAUCAUCGCACAGUAGCUGCAUCUGCCCAGCACACGAACGCUGCGUUAUCAGUAUCGUAGUGCCCCAGCCGUGGCCAGUAGUCUACUCCUCUCAUCUGGACUGGACCAUCCUGGACUUGUCCCAUAAAACCAGGAAACCUGGACUGACUUAAAACUGUGCUUUUUUGAUGAAUCCAAAUUCCUACUGUAUGUAAACAUUAUACAGCUGGUUAAUAUGUGUAUUUUAAACUUAAGUGAGAAAACAAAUCUAAGGAAAAGGGAGAAAAAAAUCUUGUCUUGAGCUGUCUCAAUUUCAG